rnacentral:antisense_RNA from 1 species
AAUCAAUAUUUUCAGCUGUGUUUAAUUCAGGGUUUUCUGAUAAUAGAAUUCGAAUAAAUUGGGAAAUAAAAUAGGCAUGCUGCAUUUCAUCCCGUUGGAUAUAGCUAAUCAUUGUACUCGUCUUCAACAUUUUUUGCUGUCGAGCCAGAUUAUAGAAAAAGGCAAAUCCUGCAUAAAAAUAAAUGCCUUCAAGAUUAAUAGAAUUUACACCAAGUUUAAACAGAUUUAGCGGUGUAGGAUUUUCGCGGAAGCUUUCAUAAGCAUUUAAUAUAAGUUGGUUUCGCUUUUGGACAAUUGGAUCAUUUUUUGCUUGAUUGAAGCGGUAAUUCUGUUCACUUAACGGGACAAGUGAGCUUAAGAUAUAAGAAUAUGACUCAUUGUGAACUGCUUCUUGUUGAGAAAUAAC